AAGGUCACCACCUCCACUCCCGUUGUAUGCUGGGAUUGUAGUCCGGCCGCCCUGUGACUAACGGCUGGAACCGCCUAAGACACCACCCCAGCCAGCAUGGCCGGCAGGAGCGCACCGCGCUGUCUCCCUCCAGGGAUCCGCACCGCCCUACAAUCCUGCUUUGUGCUGAGAUUGUAGUCCUGCAGGCGUACAACUAACAAGCUGGGUGCAGAUAAGAGACUACAGCUCCCCGCAUCCCAAGCAAAGGUCCCUCCUCUACGGAGCCCCUCCACGCGUCCACUGCGGUUCCGCCGUGCCAAGGGGAGCUUGGCUGUUCACGGGCCUCACCUGCUAGCGAGAAGAUAGCUUGGCCGGGCGGCUGAUCUCACCUUGUAAUUCUGACACUGUGUCUCCCGGGCUUGUCGGCUUCAUGACUUGUGCCCAAAGUUUGAUUUCUCGCAGACCAGGAGGACCCAUUGGACCCCCGGGCUGGCUGCAGGGCCCACACCUGGGUUAGACCUCGCACAGGGACGCUGCUGCCACUGUAAUAAAGCGUGCCUACACGCUUCUGAAACUGGUGUAGGAACAACCUCAGUUCUGUGAAAGGCGGACGCAGCAGGACAGAAUCUCCGUGGACAUCUGUCUGGAGGAGCAAUUUUACUGCGACAUUUUAAAGAAACAAAUUUAAUUGAUUUCCAAGGCUGGAUUGUUCCAAAAAAAAAAAAUCUAGAAGGUCAAAUUCAUCAUGCAGGAAGGAGGGUAAGAAUAUAUAUAGAGAGAAAAGAACAGAGAAGAAAUACAACAGCAACUCACUGUAAGUACUGUAGAAACAAACUGAAAGUUGGGUUAGAAAAAAAAAAAGAAGAAGGUCCAAGUAGUCUGAAGGACUCGGGAGGCCAAGAUGGGAAGUCCACCCAGAUGACACCGGGGAGAUCGAGGCUGCAGAGAAUAAGGAUCACAUCCCUCUGCUGGACCUGAAUGGUACUGAUGCUGUUGAGAGCCAUCUGGUCCUCAGACAUGGGAAGGCAAGAGCCAUCUGUUCGACCUUAGACAUGGCAAGAUGAAAGCUAAGUCCAGUGCUCGCUGCCAACACGUUUCUCAAAAUAAAUAAACAAAAAUUUCAACAGUAAAUAUUCAACAAUAACAAAGAAAUAAUAACAACUUUAAAGACCAAUAAGUAAAUAA
rnacentral:lncRNA from 1 species